rnacentral:rRNA from 1 species
ACGAACGCUGGCGGCGUGCUUAACACAUGCCAGUCGAACGGAAAGGCCCUGCUUUUGUGGGGUGCUCGAGUGGCGAACGGGUGAGUAACACGUGAGUAACCUGCCCUUGACUUUGGGAUAACUUCAGGAAACUGGGGCUAAUACCGGAUAGGAGCUCCUGCUGCAUGGUGGGGGUUGGAAAGUUUCGGUGGUUGGGGAUGGACUCGCGGCUUAUCAGCUUGUUGGUGGGGUAGUGGCUUACCAAGGCUUUGACGGGUAGCCGGCCUGAGAGGGUGACCGGCCACAUUGGGACUGAGAUACGGCCCAGACUCCUACGGGAGGCAGCAGUGGGGAAUAUUGCACAAUGGGCGGAAGCCUGAUGCAGCAACGCCGCGUGCGGGAUGACGGCCUUCGGGUUGUAAACCGCUUUCGCCUGUGACGAAGCGUGAGUGACGGUAAUGGGUAAAGAAGCACCGGCUAACUACGUG